AUCAGUUAUCAGUUUUAUCAGUCUUAUCAGUUUAAUAUCUGAUACGUCCCCUACCCGUUGACCAUAUAUUAAAUUGAUUUUUGGAUCAGGGAGACGGAAUAUGGACUUGCUCCGUUCAAUCCACGCAUCGACCUGGUAUUGCAGUACUUCCAGGAACGGUGCACCCUUC
ensembl:snRNA U2 U2 spliceosomal RNA